GACGAACGCUGGCGGCGUGCCUAAUACAUGCAAGUCGAACGCAGUGGGGACGGGUGAGUAACACGUGGGUAACCUGCCAUCAGAGGGGAUAAAACUUGGAAACAGGUGCUAAACCGAUACUGAUGGAUGGACCCGCUGGGCAUUAGCUAGUUGGUGAGGUAACGGCUAACCAAGGCCACGAUGCAGAGCUGACCUGCGAGGGUGACCGGCAACACUGGGACUGAGACACGGCCCAGACUCCUACGGGAGUCAGCAGUGGGGAAUCUUCUGCAAUGGGCGAAAGUCUGACCCAGCAACGCCGCGUGAGUGAAGAAGGUUUUCGGAUCGUAAAACUCUGUUUUUAGAGAAGCGGUAUCUAACCAGAAAGCCACGGCUAACUACGUGCCAGCAGCCGCGGUAAUUC
rnacentral:rRNA from 1 species